rnacentral:misc_RNA from 1 species
UGUUUUUUUGGCCAAUCAAAUUUUAGCAGGAAUUCGGUGCGAAGUGAUAAAAUGGCGGCUGAUGGAGCAGCAGCAGAAGGAGGAGAAGACUUUGAUCCGCGAUCUGGUGAUAUAGAGUUCCACGAGACGCACAUAAAUAGUGCACUUACAGCACCGGACCAGAAACUGUGGUAUCAUGGGAGGCUUGGAAGAGCAGGUGCAGAGGACCUCCUGCGAGAGCAAGAGGCUGGCAGCUACCUGGUACGGGAGAGUGAGAGCAAGCUUGGCUCCUUUGUGCUGUCCUAUCUUGGUCAAAAUCACAAAAUUACACAUUUCAGGAUACUGGCAAUGUGUGGGGACUAUUACAUAGGUGGUCGUCAGUUUGAGUCUCUUUCUGACUUGAUCGGCUACUACACCACCUGCUCCUGUCUGCUGAAAAAUGAGCAACUCAUUCAUCCAGUCGCGCCACAGGAGCCUGUGGAUGACAGAAGACGUGUGGUGGCUAUGCUCUCCUACAGAAAAGCAGCUGAUUCAGAUGAGCUGAGUUUUUGCAAAGGCGAUGUGUUUGUUGUGCAAAAUGAACUUGAAGAUGGAUGGCUUUGGGUGACAUCAGAGCGAACCAAGGAAAGUGGACUUGUACCCGCCCCAUUUGUAAAAGAUUUGGACGGUGACUAUGAACCAGUUGAAAGCCUUCCUUACUAUCAUAGCUGUCUUAGCAAAGAAGAAGCAGUUGAAAAACUUAUGCAAGCUGGAGAAGGAAGCUUUCUUGUCAGACAGAGCGAGAACUACCCUGGUGACUAUUCACUUUUCUUCCUGUGCGAAAAGGAUGUUCGACGCUUUCGCAUAGAAAAAAGAGGAAAUCAGUUCCUCGUUGGUGGUCGAUUUUUUGACAGUUUAGAUGGUGUGAUCAAGCGAUACAUGAAAGAAGAAAUAGUAGAAGGGCAUACUUUGCGCUACCCGGUCUACAGAGACAUCUUUGACAGUAAUAAUACACGUUUUGAGCGUUUGACUGUGGAUGGCAGCGAUGAUAUUUAUGCUCCUAUUCGCCAAAGUACAGGUCCAAAGCUUGUCACAAGAACAAAUGACAGAAUCGAAAUGUCUGGUUACCUUCAUUUCAGAAAUGAAAAGAUGAAAAAAUUUAAAUCUUACUAUUUUGUCCUGAAUGGAACUGAGAAGAUACUGUACUUCUUUGAAAAUGAAAAGCGAUCAAAGCCUAAAGGGUUGAUAGAACUUGAACACACAUCAGUCUACCCUGUCCAUGACAGUCUUUUUGGCAGACCAAACUGUUUCUUGCUAGUUUCUACAUAUGACAACAGCAAGACAACAAGUUACAUUGGUGCUGAGAGCAGUGAAGUCAUUAGGAGAUGGGUGCAUAUAUUGAAGUCAGCAUGCUCAAAUAUGCUGGCGGCGAUGCCAGCAAAGGGUCUUCGUGCUCUUCACAGCCUGUCAGUGACUGUCAUCUCAGCCCAUCAUGUGCCCAAUAAACUGCUGACACACCCUGCCUGCUACCUGGCUCUCAAUCAGCACAGAGUGGGACGUACACAGUUGUAUGAAGGGCCAGACCCAUUCUGGAAUGAAGAGUUUCAAUUAGAUGAUAUUCCACCUGACGUUGAAAACUUUACUGUGUCCUUGUACAAUGUCAAGCGCACCCGAGAAAUGUUAAUAGGGUCUGUCACAAUUCAGCUGUCGUCACUGGAGAACCAGGAGCUUGCCGAUGAGCAUCAUCCUUUAGCCUUUCUAGGUGGUGCUUUGCCCAAAGGAGAAGUCGGGACUCUCCGUCUCAAGGCAUACUAUCAACAUCAAGUACUGCUUCCACAGGCUGAGUACACCAGUCUCAAAGAACUGCUUUUAGAGGAGGGGUAUGAGAACCUGCUCACCCUGGCCCAGCUUUGUCCCAAGCACGAAUGGACCACACUGGCCCGAGCACUUUUGCGCAUUUUCAGUUCUGACCGCAAGGAGGUGGUCCUCCUCAGAACCCUGAAUGAUCACGAAAUUGAGAAGGAAGUGGAGGUGUCAACCUUGUUUCGAGCUACCACACUGGCAACAACUUUAAUGGACCAGUACAUGAAAAUGACUUCCACAGACUUUGUAAGGCAAGCCGUCCAGUCAGGGGUCCAUAAAGUCCUGGAGCUUAAACACUCGUGUGAGCUGAAUCCAGCUCUCCUGGAUGGUACAACUGACUCAAAAGCUAAUUCAGAGCUCCUUUUAUCUCUUCUAAACACAAUAGUAGAAGAUAUCUUCAGAGCAGCCGACUCAUGCCCAUCGCAGCUGCGGUACAUUUGCAACUGCUUGCAACGAAAAGCAAGAGCUAAAUGGCCUGAAGAUGAAACUGUCCGAACCAGGGUAGUUAGCAGUUUUAUAUUUCUCCGACUGUUGUGCCCUGCUAUCGUGAACCCUAAGUCUUUCAGCUUGGUGGCUGAGAACCCAUCAGAGACAGCAGCACGUACCUUAAAGCUUAUUGCCAAAGUUCUGCAAAUGUUGGCAAAUCUUGUUGAUGCAGGUCCCAAGUGGAGCCUAGGGCUGCAACUACACCACGCCAUUGGACCCUGUUCUGGGCGUCCCUCUCCAGUUGGGACCAUGUGAAAUAAAACUAUAGGAACAGUUUAUUAUUUGUUGUUAUCACUUUUGAAGUGCCAUCAAAUUGAUCUUGACAGGAGGCAGCUUGGUGGAUCUGUUUUCAAGCUUAUUUCAUGGAGCAGAUUUUUUACACUGCAUUGCUGAAGGUAUCUUUAGUAUUGUCAUCCAGAGUCAUCCACCAGGCUAAUAACAUUAUGGGUAUAUCACAGCCGCCACUUUCUGACUUGUACCUUCAUGCAGUCAGAAAGAUGGCAUAUAACAUCAUUUUGGAUCUAACGCACCCUCUCCAUCCCAACUUUCAGCUGUUGCCCUCAGGCAGGUGCUAUAAAAUACCACGUGUGCGAAAAUCUGCCUACCAAAGGUCCUUCGUGCUAGCAGCCAUCAUCAUCCUAAAUAAAAGACACAAGGACUCGUAGGUCUACCACUAGGAUGCCUCCUGUGAAGUUACCUAUUUGUGUGUGAGAAUGUGUAGGUGCGUGUGUGUGUUAAAUGUCUAUAUGAGUAUGUAUGCCUGCCCGUCAUAUUAUAUGUGUUUGUGACCAAAAGACAAAUUUCUGUCUUGGGUUUCCUCAACAGACAAUAAAGUUUGAUUUGAUUUUAUUUUAUUGUGAACAACAUUUUCUAAAAAGUAAUCAGUAGUAAGAUUUCUUGAUAUAUUCUAAUAAAGUUAUGUGUUGUCUUUUUUAGGAACCCUUUAUGGAGGUGGUGCAUCCAUUCAUCAGAAGAAACCGGGAACGUUUAGUAGCAUUUUUGGAUGAACUUGCUUGUGUGACAGAUAGACCCAGUUAUGCAGGAACAUCACCUGGUGAUAUCGCCAGAGAGCUUGCUGUCAUUCA